UGCAGUCGACGGUAGCACAGAGAGCUUGCUCUCGGGUGACGAGUGGCGGACGGGUGAGUAAUGUCUGGGAAACUGCCCGAUGGAGGGGGAUAACUACUGGAAACGGUAGCUAAUACCGCAUAACGUCUUCGGACCAAAGUGGGGGACCUUCGGGCCUCACACCAUCGGAUGUGCCCAGAUGGGAUUAGCUAGUAGGUGGGGUAACGGCUCACCUAGGCGACGAUCCCUAGCUGGUCUGAGAGGAUGACCAGCCACACUGGAACUGAGACACGGUCCAGACUCCUACGGGAGGCAGCAGUGGGGAAUAUUGCACAAUGGGCGCAAGCCUGAUGCAGCCAUGCCGCGUGUAUGAAGAAGGCCUUCGGGUUGUAAAGUACUUUCAGUGGGGAGGAAGGCGAUGAAGUUAAUAACUUCGUCGAUUGACGUUACCCGCAGAAGAAGCACCGGCUAACUCCGUGCC
rnacentral:rRNA from 1 species